rnacentral:lncRNA from 1 species
CCAUGGUGUCACCCACCCACAGGAUCCGUGACAACCAGAAGUGUUAUUUCCCAGAGUCCUUUUCAACCCGUGGCAUCAUCACCUCCCAGAGCCAUGACACCCAGCGUGUCACCAUCGACCAGGAGACACUCCGACCGUGUGCGGUCACCUUGCAAACCCCCAGCUUAGGGCCAGACACCACAAUGAGCUGUUUAAUUGUCCUCCAGGGUGGCAUGGCAUUCAUAGUUCCCUUCAGGGAACCAGCACAGCCCGUGCCACCCCAUUCCUGAUGGACGUGGGUGGAGCCACCGCCCCAGGUCAUGACCCCACUCUGGCUCCUCCAGACCGUGUCACUGCCUCGCUCUCCACCCAGAUCGGGCCCCAGACUUGGCCUUGGCCAGCCUCCCUCUAAGCCCUGGUGAGGGCAUGCGGGCCCUCCUGGCCCCGGCCCUGCCCUCACCCGCCAUUACCAGCGGAUUGGUGACAGGGUUAACCGCAGCCUCCCACCAUUGCUCAGGUGGGGUUUCUGAGGCCCUUGGAGGGCGCCACUGCCCCCACCCAGGGUCAGUAGUCACAGUCUGGUGCCGCGCCUGCUCUGGAGCUCUGGCCAGCAGCUGCAGCAGCUCAGAGCUGCCCCACGAGGCCCAGCUGGGGGCAAGCCCGAGGACAGCAGCUGCCAGGCCCUCGGGUGCUCCCCACCCUGCCCCAAGUCUGUCCCCUGCUCUGUACAUAGCCAUGUUGCGGGGUGGCGCUCCCCACUCUUAAAGGGCUACACCCCUCCCUCCCCCAGACCCAGGAUGAGGUGGAGGCCUGCCUCCUUAGGACUCCCCCAGUUGCUGGCCUCUGGGGUCACCCAUGUCAGGAGCCCCAGGCGGGUACCAACCCCAGCUGCCAUAUCCCAGAAGGAUGGGGGUCACCAUCUGCCAGGCCUUGGCCAGUUGUGCACCCCACCCCAAAACAUGCUCAGGCAGACUGGGCCGCCCUAGAGAGGAGCUAGCCAGCCCUGCCCCAGCUCAGCGCCCCACGGGACUCAGCUUUCCGCAGCCUGGAUGUGGGGUUCAGGCGUGCGCCCCUCCCACCUGCUCUGCUCUGCUUGGACUCAGAACCCAGCCCUUGCUUGCCUGGCACGGGUCUGCCAGGUGCCCUGACCUCUCACCUCAAAGAAGCCAUAGUGGGGAGAGAUCUCCGGGAUGUGGCAUCCCUGAGCUGGGACCUGGCCGCCCACCGUGUGCUCCCUGGCCCCCCUGCAAGCGCACAGAGAGCCCGAGGCUUUGGCAGUGGCGGGUGGGCAGCACUGGCCAGGGACCUGGAGGGCUGUGGCGAGAGCGCAGGGGCAGCCUCACUCUGCCCUUCCUUGUUCCCAUGACACUCUGCCUCGCUGGCUCUGCCUCACUGCUGCUCAGGCCCGGCAGGAGCUUCCACUUAGUAUUUUUUGAAUAAACAUAUGUUUUCC